rnacentral:lncRNA from 1 species
AAGACUGACAGUGAAAUUCCAUGCAAUACCAACAAAGAUGCUGCCCACUUUCCCGAAGUUGAGGCAAACCCUGAAGAACCAGCAGUUGAAGGAAAACCUAAAGAACCCGUUGAUGAAGAGAAACCAGAUGUACCAGUGGUUGAGAAACCUGAAAAACAAAUGGUUGAGGAGAAACUUGAAGAACCAAUGAUUGAGGAGAAAUCUGACGAACUAGUCGAGGAGAAAUCUCAACAACCAGCGGCUGAAAAGAAACCUGAAGAACCAGCAGCUAAAGAAUCACUUAAAGAGCUAGCAGGGGAGGAAACAACUGAAGAACUAGCACUUGAAGAGAAACUUAGAGAACCAACAGUUGAAGAACUAGUUCUUGAAGAUAAACCUGAAAACCCAGAAAAUGAAGAGGAU